rnacentral:rRNA from 1 species
AUUGAACGCUGGCGGCAGGCCUAACACAUGCAAGUCGAGCGGUAGAGAGAAGCUUGCUUCUCUUGAGAGCGGCGGACGGGUGAGUAAUGCCUAGGAAUCUGCCUGGUAGUGGGGGAUAACGUUCGGAAACGGACGCUAACACCGCAUACGUCCUACGGGAGAAAGCAGGGGACCUUCGAGCCUUGCGCUAUCAAAUGAUCCUAGGUCGGAUGAGCUAGUUGGUGAGGUAAUGGCUCACCAAGGCGACGAUCCGCAACUGGUCUGAGAGGAUGAUCGGUGACACGGGAACGGAGAGACGGUCCAGCCGCCUACGGGAGGCGGCGGGGGGGAAUAGUGGAAAAUGGGCGGAAGCCUCAUCCAGCCAUGCCGCGUGUGUGAAGAAGGUCUUCGGAUUGUAAAGCACUUUAAGUUGGGAGGAAGGGUUGUAGAUUAAUACUCUGCAAUUUUGACGUUACCGACAGAAUAAGCACCGGCUAACUCUGUGCCAGCCGCCGCAGUAA